GAAAACACGAAAAAAAAAGAACCAUUCAAAUUUUGAAUUGUCAUUACCGAAGAGAGUCAGUCUUUUGUUCCCCAAAUUAUAGAAUCCAAAUGAACCCAGCAAACCAUCCCUCUUCUGCCCCAAUGUCUUCCCAUUUUCGGCGACUUCUCCUCCAAUUUCUUCCCAUUUUCGGCGACAUCUCAACCACUUGAAAUAGCCGGAAUCCACGUACCCGUCACCUCUGACUAUCACGUGACUGCAUAUUUCUUUGAGGAUCGAGGAUUCAAAGACCGUCUCUGGCCAUCGCGUGAAGGAGUCCGUUCCAGAUCAAAGAUUCAGUCGCCGUCUCCUGCUUGUGCUCACUACAAUUUAAUUUUUAAGUUUGAAUUUAACAUUGGCAACACCGUUCAAGAUCGAUGAAGGCUUCACAGAUCUCCAACAUCAAAUCCACUGAAUUUGAAAAAGUUGCCUUCACAGCUCUACACUUAUCAUUUGUGGUUGCCUCAAUCAAAGCCGAUCGAAUCAGUUGACGAUAUGUCUUGUAUGUUUCGAUCGCAAGUUCGGCUUAACAAUGAUCAAGAACUCCACAUAUCUAUGAACGUGACGAUCCGCAUAGGCAAGUCGAGCACCAAAGGGAACACCAAAUGCAAGGCACUGGCUUGAUUAAAGGUGGAUGUUCACAUCCGUGCAUCGAAUUUUGUGUUCAAGUGUGAAGAAAAUGGAAAUGUCAGUUUCAACAUUUUGUAAAUUUAACAAUUGUAUCAUGACUUAAUGCUAAAUUUUGUGUUGAUGUUACGGAUUUGCUUCACACAACAUGCAUUAUCAUUCGAGGUUCUCUUU